GCCGGGAUGGUGUAACGGUAGCACGUGGGCUUGUGGUAUUCAAAAGAGUGUCAUACAAUUCGCCUUCAAUCGCGGUUCGAUUCCGCGUCCCGGCA